ensembl:lncRNA
GUGAAGCAUGGCAGUAGAUGCUUUUUUUUUUUGUACCAGGGAUUGAACUCAGGACCUUGUGUUUGUAAGGCAGGCGGCGGAACCACUGAGCUAAAUCCCCGGCUUAGAUGCUAUUCUUAAUGUGGUGGUGAACAUAACUGAAAGCAAAAGUCCACAGCUGGGAAAAUUAGUUUUCCUGUUCUUCUAUUUUCAGACCUUAGCUGAAACAACAUCUAGAGAUAUCCUUAGGAAAGGAAAUUAUUCCAUAACAUGCAAGAAAAAAUGGUGUAAAAGGAACAUUCUAAACUCUUAAGUUUAAACAAAAGUAGUGUAGAAAGUAUUUUUAAGACUAGCUUCAUCUCAAGCAGGGUUACCAUAUAAUCCAGCAGCUCUACGUGCAUAUCCAAAAGAAUUGAAAGCAAAUUCAAAUACUUGUACCCAGUGUUUACAGCAUAACCAGUGUUCCUGAUAACCAGUGUUCAUAGCAGCAGCAUUCAUAGUGGCCAAAAUGUGGAAGCAACCCAGUGUCCACCAACAGCUGGCUUGUUAAAUGUUAUCCUACUGCCUUCUGGCCUCCAUGAUUUGUGAUCAGAAAGUAUGUGCUAAUCUUACCGAAGAUCCCUUGUAGAUGGUUUCUCUGGAGGGAUGGGUGUUUGGACUGUCUGCUUCACCAUUUUGCUGAAAUCAUUCUAUAAAUGUAUUUUUGAACUAUAAUUAUGUGAAGAGAACUUUCUUAGCCUAAAA